AAAACUUUCAACAAUGGAUCUCUUGGUUCCGGCAUCGAUGAAGAACGCAGCGAACUGCGAUAAGUAAUGUGAAUUGCAGAAUUCAGUGAAUCAUCGAGUCUUUGAACGCACAUUGCGCCCCCUGGCAUUCCGGGGGGCAUGCCUGUCCGAGCGUCAUUGCUGCCCAUCAAGCCCGGCUUGUGUGUUGGG
rnacentral:rRNA from 1 species